GACGAACGCUGGCGGCGUGCUUAACACAUGCAAGUCGAACGAUGAAGCCGGAGCUUGCUCUGGUGAAUUAGUGGCGAACGGGUGAGUAACACGUGAGUAACCUGCCCUUGACUCUGGGAUAACUGCGGGAAACCGUAGCUAAUACCGGAUACGACACCUUGGGGCAUCCCAGGGUGUGGAAAGAAUUUCGGUCAAGGAUGAGCUCGCGGCCUAUCAGCUAGUUGGUGAGGUAAUGGCUCACCAAGGCGACGACGGGUAGCCGGCCUGAGAGGGUGACCGGCCACACUGGAACUGAGACACGGUCCAGACUCCUACGGGAGGCAGCAGUGGGGAAUAUUGCACAAUGGGCGAAAGCCUGAUGCAGCAACGCCGCGUGAGGGAUGAAGGCCUUCGGGUUGUAAACCUCUUUUAGCAGGGAAGAAGCGAAAGUGACGGUACCUGCAGGAAAAGCACCGGCUAACUACGGGCCAGCCGCCGCCGUAA
rnacentral:rRNA from 1 species